UCCUGGUUAGCUCAGUUGGUAAAGCGCAGCAAUGGAAAUGGAGAGGUCUCUGGUUCGAUACCAGGACCAGGCG
rnacentral:tRNA from 1 species